GUUAACCUUUCAGAGACUCGAUGGUCUCACCUGUAAACUGGAGCUCAGGAUACCUAGCUGUCAGGGUGGUUAGGAUGGUCAAAGGGCACCCCCAGGAGCAUGAUAAACAUGAGCUGAAACAGCGAAGUCGGAAUCUGUAUACAGACAUGACCUGUCGCCUCUCGGAGCAUUAACCCUCCCAGUGAACUGGCAGGAGAGGUCUCCUGUCUUACUUCUCGGAGCAGAGGCACAGAGCUGGGAAGUCGGCCUGCCCACCUCCCCUGAGAGCUGGCAAGAGAGCCAGGAAUGGGAUGCACGCACAUGCCGUUUGAUCCAGAGCUCUUGCUACCAGGCGCAUGGCCUCUUUAACAGCUCACCGGUUGUUGGAUUUGCUUCCAUUUUCUCCUGGGCCUAAAUCGUUCCCCAGCUUCCAAGGGGCACUCCCUCUUUCACACUUGAGGGUACCACCCAGGGAACUGAAGGCUCGGAAAGAGUAGCAACAGGGAGUAACAUGGGCACCAGGGAGAAGGAGGCUUGUUAUAUUCUUUCUAGAUGAAUCUCCAGGCUGCGGCAGUCCCGGGCGAGUCCCAGGCCUGCCGCAAAACCUGUCCGCCGUGGGACUGCCUCAACAUGCUGUUUGGGAAGUCAAGAUGUUCAGUGUAAACUUUGUUCUCCCUUCCCUUUCUUCGGGGAUUCACAGAGGCAGCUCUUCCAGGGCCUUCCUCUCCAAGUCUUUCUGGUGCUGAAAUCUGAGGUCACACACCCUGGAACACGACUUCUCUGUCAGAACAAGCCCGUGAAGCGGCUGUCCUAUCCGAGAGGGCUGUGCAGCGGGUGGUGUUGGCCCUUGAGUUUGCCAUGGUUUGGGUUUCUCAGUGGCACUAUUUUUGGCAGAUUUUUUUUUCCCUCGCUCUUUAUCACAAGCCCGUCGGGGAAAUGACAGCGGAAUUGCAAGCUUGAAUGGACUUGUUUGACAGGCCAACUUUCAUCCUGAGCACUGCUGCUGACUUUUAAAAAGGAACUCUGAGAGGAGGAUAGUAAUUUCACACUAAUUCCUUGCUGUAAUUUGCUUUUGAGUAUAAAAUGUCGUGUUUCAAUCACCCUAGCUGCGUGGUGUAAGGGAGAAGAUGGGACACACGUGUGGUUAAUGUGUUUGUAAUAGACACACACAAAGACACCACUUUGCUCUGAAGCAACAACACAGGAAACACUCAUCCACACUUCAAGGGAAUCUCCACCAGGUACAAACAAGUGCAUUCAAAGGAAUUCAUAAUACAUUGCCAGCUUUGGCAGAAACAGAGAGCUCCUUUAAACAGAAAAUCUCACGCUUGACAUCUCCAUCAUCCAAGCGUUUAUGAGAAUAUCUUUAUCCCCCAGGCUGCAUUAUGGAGAGGAAUUGGGGUGGUUUUAGGCAAACCCCAAAAGUAGGAGGGUCUGAAACCCUGGAUGGACUUAAUGCAUUGGGGGAACAGAUCAGGUUCAGCUGAGGAAAGUGAAAUUCAUCUGGGAGAAGGGUAAGUUAAUAGGUACUGGCCAAAAGGGAAAUAGCCUCCACGCUGAAGAGAGCUGAUGAGGCUGUGCUUGGAAAAUCCCCUAAGAAAAAAACUACAGGGUCUCACAGAGAAGCCAGUGGUGAGGGCUUUGCCCAGUUUAGAAGCAGGAAGCAACAACUUUUUCUGAUUUAUUAAUCUGCACAUGGAAGCACCCUAAUCCCAUCCCUUCACCAACUCUCACCGCACUUAACUAUCCUGGCCACACUGCCUGACAUUUCAUUUUUCUCCCGGGAUGGCCGCUAAUAUUUCACAUACUUAGUCUUGCUCUCACCUAGAUUAUAAAUUCCUCGAGGUCAGGAGUCAAAAUCCAGCCCCAGGCUCCUUCCCAGGACUCCGUAACUCCCUGGAGGAUUGCAGAGCCCUUCACACAUUGUUCGCAAGGCUUCUGAAACAAUGGCAAGAUUGCACAAGGGCCAGGAAGGGUAUUUUUAGAACAGAUCCAAGCUCUUUGGUGGGCCCUCAGGCUGUUUACCACCUAACCUGACCGCCUUUGGUGUCCUUCUGGCCCUGGCUCCAUAUGCCGUGUGCUCCAGCUGAGCAAAACUAAAUGCUCUCAUGCCUCCGUGUCUUUGCACGUGCUGUUCCCUCUGCCAGCUGCCCUUGCCCCUUCUUGCAUCUGUGGACUGUCUUUCAGCUCUAGGCCGCCUUCUCUCUCCCCACGGAACUGCCAGCAUCCCUUAGGCAGAGCUGAUGGUGCCUCACUCUGUGGGUCCAGGGUGCUUUCUGGAGGCCUUAAUGGGGAGGCAGGGCCAGCUGCCAGUCAUCAGGUUGGUACAGCCAUCGGGUUGGUACUGCCUGGUUGGCAGGCCUGUCUUUUCAGUUAGCCUGAGACUGCCUUGAGGCCAGGGCUACCUUCCUCCCUGUCUCUAAGUUCUUGGCCCCCAGCACAGUGCCUGGCACUCAGCAAAUGUUUCUUGAAUGAAUGUGCUUCCCAUGUUGGGCAGAUCAUGACGAAGGCAAUAGCAGGGCCCAGUGUGUAAUGCGAGGACAGCAAAAAGGGACCCUGCUUUGAGACCAGAGAUGCUUCACAGGGAAGCCACAUCUGGAGCCCUUCCUGAUAAGCUGGGUCAACUGGGACCGCUCCUAGACAGGGUGUUUGAGGAGGUGGUGCUUGCUUUAGGCAGCCCCAGCCUCAUUCUGAGAGCUUGUUCCACUUUGAGGAUUUCUCUGUUUUCCAUUUCCAAAUCUUUAUGCUAUCCCUCAGUUACACUUGCUCAAAGGGUGAUUGCUAGCAGUCUCCGAAGAUAGGCUAAGAGGUGUGGGUAAGCGGCAGUGUGCUGGGGUUGGGGAUGGGGGGACAGGGCAUUGCCCGGGCUGUGUGGGAGGCAGGAGCGAGAUGAUGAAGAUUCUGGACUCCAAGCUGGCCCCAGAUGCCAGCCCACCUUGUGUGAUACACUGAGAGUGCCUCAGUUUCCCUGCCUGUUAAACAGUAAUGGCUCCUUCAUUGAGUUGUUCUGAAAAAUCAAGUUAGUACAAAGGAAGCACAGAAAGUGUGCCUGACACAGGCAAUCUCUCACUGCAUGCCAGCUCCUGGCAUUUGGAAUCUGAAGAUGGAAUCCAGUCUGACUUCCUUCACUCGCAAGUUGUCCAAGUCACCUCACCUCCCCAUUCAUGUUCUCAUGUCUCUGAGAUGAGGAUAAUAAGGCUGACCUUGCCGGGUGUUGGGAGAAUCAGAUAAUCAGAGAGUGGAGUGAGUGCAUUUUGCAAGCUACAAGGUGCCUUCCCAAGGGAAGCGUGAAGUCACCUGGGUGAAGGUAUUGGGAAGUGAGGCCCUGUCACAGAUCCUGCCCCACAAGAGCUACCCCUGUAAGGAAUCAAUGACUCGGUAUUAACCAUGCUUUUAAUUUCUGUAAAGUGAUGCAUUGACAUCCACCUAAGGCCCUAUUUGCCAACCUAAGCCAAUUGUGACUCACCCGUUGCAAUGGUUAACUUUAUGUGUCAAGUUGGCUGGGCUGUGCUGCCUGGAUGUGUGGUCCAACAUUAUUCAGAAUGUUUCUGUGGGAGUGUUUUUGAAAGAGAUUAACAUUUAAAUCAGCAGGCUUUGAGCAAAGCAGGUGGCCCUCCAUGUUGCAGGUGGGCCUCAUCCAAUCAACUGAAGGCUCCAGUAGAGCCAAGCCUGACCCUAGGAAGAGAAUUCUGCCAGUGGACGGUCUUCUAACUUGAACUGCAACAUCAUCUCCCUGGGUCUCCAGCCUGCUGGAGAUUUUGGACUUUUCAGCCUCCAUAAUAAUGAUGAAGACGAGCUAGCUCUGCGCAUGUGUGCGUGUGGGAGAAAGGCCAGUUGCAGUCAGUGUCACGGUGCUGUUUUUGAAACUCUGCAGGUCCCUCAUAGGCCGGCUGAUAUCACCCAUGCCAGGAUUGCUUGGCCUUGACAGAGCCUGUGUUAGAAGGGACUAUCAUGAAGGUAUCCAAGAUACUAAAGGGCUGAAACAAGCCCCUCUCUUGUCUUCACAGUAUCUUCCAGUGGCAGACAGGAGGCCACUGGAUGAAGCUGAGGACAAAUAAAUGUCAAUAAACCACCACUGGGAGCUGCUGCUCCCCCAUUUCCCGUGGCCUGCAGGGGGUCACUGAGUUAAAUGUUACAGCUGAUUGUGAAAGGGACCUGGUGAAUCCAUGAUCAAUAAUGACAUUGGUUUUUACACGAGCUAAGAUAAGGGUAAUUAAAUCUUGUGCUUCAGGCCAUAUAAACUGAUCUCCACAGGAGGGCAAGAAUUAAUUUAAUUCCACACACACAACCCCUUCCAACCCCUCUGACAGCUUUAGUAUAAUGGACUCAGUGCAGGAUGGGGAAGAUAGAGCACCAGGUAUUAACCACCACACCUAUCGGGAGCUUGAACUUGAUGGGCCUCGUGGCUGAUCCAGGGCAGCAAAUCCAGAGCUGCUUACAGCUUCUCUCUGUGCUGGGUUUAUUACAUACAAUCUGUACAGGGGCUGUUUCCACACUUAAUGGCAGUCCUGAAUCACUAUCUAUUUCCCAUCCUUGCCUGCAAAACAGCAACCCAGAGCUAGUGCUAUGCCGUCAAUACCGGGCCCCAUAAAGCCACUGCUGUAUAGAUUUGCCUUUUUGUGCAUGUGCGUCUGAUUCACGAGCACUUUGGCAGCCUUCCAGGCUUGAGGAGAGGAAAAAAACAUCCUGAGCAUCCCAACAGCCUCAUUUUGAUCUGUGAUACUGAGCAACUCAUUUCCACUUCACAGGCUCUGCUGAGCUGUGCCACAGAAAGACAAAUCCCAGA
rnacentral:lncRNA from 10 species